rnacentral:ribozyme from 14 species
AAAAAGGAAAAAGUGACUAAGCAUGAACAUAUUUAUUUCAGUUAUUCUUCUUCUUGGAUGGCUUACUGCUUUUUUUGUUUUCCACCAGUAAAGUCAACCUUUUGCUUCAGCACGUACUUCUUGAAUGCAAAUUCAACAAAGAGGUAAAGGUAGGU